AGUCGAACGGGCACUUCGGUGCUAGUGGCAGACGGGUGAGUAACACGUGGGAACGUACCUUUCGGUUCGGAAUAAUACAGGGAAACUUGUACUAAUACCGGAUACGCCCUUCGGGGGAAAGAUUUAUCGCCGAUUGAUCGGCCCGCGUCUGAUUAGCUAGUUGGUGAGGUAAUGGCUCACCAAGGCGACGAUCAGUAGCUGGUCUGAGAGGAUGAUCAGCCACACUGGGACUGAGACACGGCCCAGACUCCUACGGGAGGCAGCAGUGGGGAAUAUUGGACAAUGGGCGCAAGCCUGAUCCAGCCAUGCCGCGUGUGUGAUGAAGGCCUUAGGGUUGUAAAGCACUUUUGUCCGGGAAGAUAAUGACUGUACCGGAAGAAUAAGCCCCGGCUAACUUCGUGCCAGCAGCCGCGGUAAUACGAAGGGGGCUAGCGUUGCUCGGAAUCACUGGGCGUAAAGGGCGCGUAGGCGGACUCUUAAGUCGGGGGUGAAAGCCCAGGGCUCAACCCUGGAAUUGCCUUCGAUACUGAGAGUCUUGAGUUCGGAAGAGGUUGGUGGAACUGCGAGUGUAGAGGUGAAAUUCGUAGAUAUUCGCAAGAACACCAGUGGCGAAGGCGGCCAACUGGUCCGAUACUGACGCUG
rnacentral:rRNA from 1 species